rnacentral:rRNA from 1 species
CACGUAGGGUGCGAGCGUUGUCCGGAAUUAUUGGGCGUAAAGAGCUCGUAGGCGGUUUGUCGCGUCUGCUGUGAAAACCCGAGGCUCAACCUCGGGCCUGCAGUGGGUACGGGCAGACUAGAGUGCGGUAGGGGAGAUUGGAAUUCCUGGUGUAGCGGUGGAAUGCGCAGAUAUCAGGAGGAACACCAAUGGCGAAGGCGACUCACUGGCCCGAUACUGACGCUGAGGCGCGAAAGCGUGGGGAGCAAACAGG